rnacentral:rRNA from 1 species
UGGGGAAUUUUGGACAAUGGGCGAAAGCCUGAUCCAGCAAUGCCGCGUGUGUGAAGAAGGUCUUCGGGUUGUAAAGCACUUUUGUCCGGAAAGAAAUCCUUGGCUCUAAUACAGUCGGGGGAUGACGGUACCGGAAGAAUAAGCACCGGCUAACUACGUGCCAGCAGCCGCGGUAAUACGUAGGGUGCAAGCGUUAAUCGGAAUUACUGGGCGUAAAGCGUGCGCAGGCGGUUUGCUAAGACCGAUGUGAAAUCCCCGGGCUCAACCUGGGAACUGCAUUGGUGACUGGCAGGCUAGAGUAUGGCAGAGGGGGGUAGAAUUCCACGUGUAGCAGUGAAAUGCGUAGAGAUGUGGAGGAAUACCGAUGGCGAAGGCAGCCCCCUGGGCCAAUACUGACGCUCAUGCACGAAAGCGUGGGGAGCAAAACAGGAUUAGAUACCCUGGUAGUCCACGCCCUAAAACGAUGUCAACUAGUUGUUGGGGAUUCAUUUCCUUAGUAACGUAGCUAACGCGUGAAGUUGACCGCCUGGGGAGUACGGUCGCAAGAUUAAAACUUAAAUGAAUUGACGGGGUCAUAGCUGUUUCCU